UGCAAGUCGAACGAGAAAGUGGAGCAAUCCAUGAGUAAAGUGGCGACCGGGUGAGUAACACGUGACUAACCUACCCUUGAGUGGGGGAUAACCUCGGGAAACCGGGGCUAAUACCGCAUAACAUCGCAAGAUCAAAGGAGCAAUCCGCUGAAGGAGGGGGUCGCGGCUGAUUAGUUAGUUGGUGAGGUAACGGCUCACCAAGACGAAGAUCAGUAGCCGGCCUGAGAGGGCGCACGGCCACACUGGAACUGAAACACGGUCCAGACUCCUACGGGAGGCAGCAGUGGGGAAUUUUGCGCAAUGGGGGAAACCCUGACGCAGCAACGCCGCGUGGAGGAUGAAGUCCCUUGGGAUGUAAACUCCUUUCGAUCGGGAAGAUAAUGACGGUACCGGAAGAAGAAGCACCGGCUAACUCUGUGCCAGCAGCCGCGGUAAUACAGAGGGUGCAAGCGUUGUUCGGAAUUAUUGGGCGUAAAGGGCGCGUAGGCGGUGCGGUAAGUCUGUAGUGAAAUCUCUGGGCUCAACUCAGAGCCUGCUAUAGAAACUGCCGUGCUGGAGUGUGGGAAAGGUGAGUGGAA
rnacentral:rRNA from 1 species